UACGUAGGGUGCAAGCGUUAAUCGGAAUUACUGGGCGUAAAGAGCUCGUAGGCGGUUCGUCGCGUCGGCUGUGAAAUCCCGAGGCUCAACCUCGGGUCUGCAGUCGAUACGGGCGGACUGGAGUUCGGCAGGGGAGACUGGAAUUCCUGGUGUAGCGGUGAAAUGCGCAGAUAUCAGGAGGAACACCGGUGGCGAAGGCGGGUCUCUGGGCCGAUACUGACGCUGAGGAGCGAAAGCGUGGGGAGCGAACAGG
rnacentral:rRNA from 1 species